GCAUUUUAAGUAUUAAAGGCACUGCCUGCCCAGUGACAUCUGUUCAACGGCCGCGGUAUCCUGACCGUGCAAAGGUAGCAUAAUCACUUGUUCCCUAAAUAGGGACUUGUAUGAAUGGCCACACGAGGGUUUUACUGUCUCUUACUUCCAAUCAGUGAAAUUGACCUUCCCGUGAAGAGGCGGGAAUACUACAACAAGACGAGAAGACCCUAUGGAGCUUCAAUUAACUACUCCAAUAAAGACAAACUACAACCCACCCAGGCCCAACUCCCCUUUAUCUGGACUAGCAAUUUAGGUUGGGGUGACCUCGGAGUAUAAAAAACCCUCCGAGUGAUCAAAAUUUAGACUAACCAGUCAAAACACAAUAUCACUUAUUGAUCCAAAAAUUUGAUCAACGGAACAAGUUACCCUAGGGAUAACAGCGCAAUCCUAUUUAAAAGUCCAUAUCAACAAUAGGGUUUACGACCUCGAUGUUGGAUCAGGACAUCCCAAUGGGGCAACAGCUAUUAAAGGUUCGUUUGUUCAACGAUUAAAGUCCU
rnacentral:rRNA from 1 species